AGGUGCCAACCUUUAAAAAGAAAGAAAGAAACAGAAGACAAGAAAACAUUUGCAACAAGUUUUCUGAGUACAUCUGAAGAUCAGUUCAGAUGUCAUCUGGGCAUUGAGAGGGUCUAUAUAGUCUCAAGACAAAGAGUGGAUGUGAUGUGCACAGUCAACUACACUAGACUCAGAUUUAGGGCUUGAUGUGACUAUAGUGACCCCUACUGGAGGUUAUCUAUUUUUUUAACUCAAGAACCUAAAUCAGGGCUUGUGCAAGCAUAAAAACAAUUUUCAUAGAAUAAUUGCAUUUGAAAGUUGGAAGAAGGCUCAGAGAACAUUUAGCAUUAUCUCUUUAAUUCAUAAUUGAUGAAACAGGCCUUUGCCUUGGAGAGGUUAAAUGACUUGCUUUAGGUCACAGAACUGGAAUUACCAGGAAAUAAAGACAUCUGCCCAGUUCUUGGGCCUGUUUAUACAGGCAGUUUCCUGUCAUAAUAAAUAAAAGUUUCUAUAACAAACAAAAUGAGGAGGCUGAGCAAAACCUCAGGAACUUACACUAAUUUAAAAAUAAACUAUUCACUGGAUUUGGUUAACUAGGACUCAGUUUUGCUGAGAAAAGGACUUUCUAAUUGAUACUAAUAUGACACUUUUUUCUUUCCCCUUUGGCCUUUAUGAGCUUACACAACUUCAUAUCAGACUCAAACUUCCAUUUGGAAUGCUAAGUUGCCCUGUCCUUCACCAGGUUACCCGUGUUCCCCAUCUCUGCUAUUUUGAUCUUUCUGAAAUUUUUUUUUGGGCUUCAAUAUGCUUUUUAUGUGCUUUCCCAUUCUUCACCUCUAAAAAACUCUUGAUAAUGUACUAAGAAAAAGGAAAUAACAGAAUCACAAUGGCUCUUAUAUUGGGAUUUUCUGGAAAGUCUGACUCUGGUUCUUACCCUCUACUCAGCACACUAGAGUCACCCAUUCCUGAAUGCCCUUUGCUUCUUCAUCUUUCUUCCCUCAGUCAACAUCCCUCUUUCUUCACUCCAUAAGUCAGAGUUCCCAAGACAUAUCAUGACCAUGGGGUUUGUGCAUUUGUUCUCCUGUUACUGUACUAGAAGGCAAAAUCCUGGUCCCUGCUUACAUCCUUAGCUAGUUAUGGAAGCUUUGGAAAAGCCACUUUACUUCUUCCACAUUUCAGUUCUGUCAUCUUUCAAAUGGUUAUAAUAAUAUAGACUAUAUUUACUUCACAGACUUUCAGUGAGGAUCAAAUAAGAUAAAGUUUUUGAAGGAGGUAUGAAAAAUAUAAAAAAUUAUGCACAGGAUAGUUUUUGAGAUAUUAUUUUUACUACUUUCUUUGCAAUUUUUUCUCUCUUCAACUAUUCAAGCAGGUACCCAGGUUAUUUUCUGUUUUUUUGCUUCUGGAACUUUUUGCAUGUGGAAACCUUAAGCUGUCUGAGGUUAAAAAAAAUUCUUCUUACUUCUUAUACAAAAGAUUAUGUUAGGAGCCCUGGAGAAGGAAGGAAGAGGAGCACUUUAAGUAAAGAGAAUAAGAUAGAAGUUUGUCCCAUUCAGACUAGAAGGAUUAUAGAGGUUAAUUGGCUUCAUGACCAGUGGGGACACUGCAGAGCCCACUCUGAGGCUGCCCCUGAGGAAGGUGGAAAGACCUCAGGGUGGAACACUUCAUGGCGCAUGGAUUAAAACCUGACUGUCCACUUUGCAGGGCAGAGAUAGAUAGAAGUAGAGAUCUACAUUGAUUCAUGGGCAAGUGGCUAUUUGGUCAAGGAGUCAAGGGCUUGAAUAAACAGGAUUAACAGAUUGGUUAAAAGGAGGUCUGAGAAAGAGUUAAACGAACCUCUCAGAGUGGGCAGAGUGAGGAUAUUUGUAUCCCAUGCAAAUGCUUACUACAAGGCAUCCACUGAAGAAGAGAUUCUCAAUAAUCAAGUAAACAAUAUGACCAAUCCUGUGGAUGUCAGUUAGCUGUCUUCCCCAGCCAUCCUGGUGCUCACGAACAUAAUGGUCCCGGCAACAGUGUGGGCUUAAGAACAUAUGCUUCUUUCCACAAGGCUAAUCUUGCUACUGUCACUGAUGAGUGCCUAUCUCACCAACAUCAGAGAACGACACUGAGCUCCUAAAAUGGCACCAAUCCCAAAAUCUGCCAGCCACCUGAUGGUAGAGAGAUUACACUGUACCACUGUCAUCAUGGAGGAAAAGAUACUUAACCUGGAUAUGAAUUUGUCUUCUUUGCCUAUAAUAUUUCUGCUAGCACCACUAUCUAUGGACUUAGGUACGGCCUUGUUCACUCUCUUGAAACCCCAUAAAAUAUUGCUUUUGAAUAAGGAAUUCCACUUAAAGAAUUAGAGUUGAAGAAAUAGUUUCAUGUCCAUAGGAAGAAGCUGCCUUGAUAAAAUGUGGAAUGACCUAGUGACAACUCACUUAUGUUGCCAAUUAUUGGACUGGAGAGCUGUCACACAAGUUAUUCUAUAUUGUCUGAGCCAGCGACCGAUAUAUAAUGCUAUGUCUUCCAUAGCAAGAAUACUUAGAUGUGAGAACCAAAAUGUAGAAGUAGUGGUGGAUCCUUCACUAUAAUUCCUAACAACCUACUCACACAGGUUUUGUUUCCAUCCUCACAAUAUUGUGCUCUUAGUUUCCUCUUGGAAACAACAGAAGCAUUCCACUGAAUGGAAUCCCAGACUGCCACAUCAGCCACUUUGGGUUGUUCAUGCCACUGAACCAACAAGCAGAAAAGGGGAUUACUGUAUUGGCUGGGGCACUUGGUCCUGAUUACAAACUAGAAAAAGUGUUGAUACUACACAGCAAAGGGAGGGGGAACUACGUCUGGAAGUCCAGGGACUCUCAGGGCAACUCUUAGUACUCCUACGUCCAUGGUAAAAGCUAUUGGAAGAUUGGAAGAACCCAAGCAAAGCAAGAACCACUAAUGGUUCAGAUCUUUCAGGAAUGAAAGCUUAGGUCAUCAUGACUGAUAAAUAAGCACAAUUAGAUAAAGUUAGCUGACAAAGGGAAUAGGGGAAAGGUAGUGGAAGAAAGGAGUUGCAAAUACCAACUACAGACCAUAAAGUGUAGAGAAAUGAGGACUGUAAUCAUUAUACAUAUUUUCCCAUUUUCUCUUUUCCCAUUCCUCCCUGAGGUUUUCCAGGAUUUGAAUCUAAUUAUGGAAUAGGCCUGGGUCUGUAAGCAGCGAGAAAUACUGGGGAUUGAUCUUGAGGAGAUUCAUCAUCCUCCGACAAAUCAACUACCUCAGCUACUUACUCUAAGCGCCAGUCUUCUAAAGUCUUGGCAUUGAAAGGCGUCUGAUUCCAGGAAACAGCAAGUGAACAUCUGAGGAACGUUUUGUCACUGCAUGGUAUGGACUCCCAGUGUCCUAUUUUCCAUUGACAGUGAGGUCAUUACUGAUUUCAAAUCUAAUCUAUGUGUAUGUUAAUGCCCACUAUAUGCUCAUAGUGUAAGAUAGGUUGCUUGGGAGGAAGAGGGACACAAAUGAAGGCAAGAAACGGUCUUGACUUCAAGAAUGUUGUGAUCCUAUAAUUAGUAGCUAAAGGAGUUCUGCUAAAUUCCAGAGAGCAGAUAGCAUUCUCUGAGCUGCCUCAUUCCCUCUUUACCAGAUGGCCAGUGGGUACUAUAGUAGCAAAGCUGAGUUAGAGAGGAAAGAAGAUAUUUCUUGGAGUCCCAAAUAGUGACCCCAUAUUUCUCAUAGAAACAAUGUUAUAAACAUAGGUUACACUUCCACACUAAUUCCUCAAAGCCUAUUGAACCCAAAAGAUUCCUGAAAUACAGUCGUAUGUGUAUAUAAAUAUAGCACAUUUCUGGCAAGAUUAUGAGUAGGUUUUAAUUAAAUAACAUAGAAAACUAAUUAUCAUCCAGAUAUUGUUUCUAUUUUAAAAUGCCUUUCAAGUCUAAUAUAAGACAUUAAAAACAUCCUUCCCCUUUCCUUUCACCUGAGUAUACAUAUCCCACUCUGGCACCCAGGCUAAAAGGUAUCCUCCUCUCCUGGUCACCUCCCAGUCAUGCCAUGUGGUCUCGCAAUAAAGGAAAAUCAGCCCUGAGUAGCUGUAAUGAGAAGGGACCGUGGCGGUUUGGGGAAUUUUUGGCAGCUAAUGGUCUUUACAGUCCGGUUGAUGAGGGAAGCCAGAGUUUUCCCAGGGCCUUUCAACACGUUGGGUGUACCCUGAUCCCCAGUAGGAUGCCACCAGAGGCAGCAUUCACUCCAUUUGUUCCAAGAUAGAAUCUUCUUUUCAAGGACACCUUUUAGUUCUUUCACAAUCAAUAUUUUACGAAUGCUAAGUAACUUGCUGAAGGCCACUCAGCAAGAAAGUGUCAAAGCUAAGGUUCAGAGUUAGGUCUAUCCUACUCCAAAGCCCAUGUUCCCUCCUCUACAUUCUUCAGUACUUUCUAGGACAGUACGAUCACUUUAAAAAUAGUCUACAAGUGGCAUUUUCCACCAGUAUAUCAUGACAAAGGAAAUCGAGCCUUAUUUCAAGCUUCCUAUUCACUUUAACUUUUGAGAGCUGUGGUCUCAAACCAGGGAGCACGUUAAAAUCACCCGGAAGCUUUAAAUCACCUUGGCUCUUGUCCAGACCAAUUAAAUCAGACUCUCUAGGGGCAGAGCUUUUUUUUUAAGUCCCCUGUUUGCUUCCAGUGUAUGCCCAGGGUCGAGAACCACUGGUGCUGUAUAACAGAAAGAAAGCAGGCUCCCGAGUCUCAGACCUAGGCUCGAAAUUAAGAUCUAUAAUUUGCUGGCUAUGACUUUCAGGAAGCUACUUAAUUGCUUUAAAUGUUGUAUUAAAGAAAAUUCAUGAGGAUUGGAGAGAAUGCAUGUGAGCUUCUCACAUUGUGUCUGGCAUACGGUAGAUACACAAUAAAUGGUGGCAUUAAAAUUGGACACUGCUAUAGUAGUGGUAAGGAAGUGGGCUUGGAGUCCAAUUGUAUAGACCUGCUUUCAAAUCCCAGCACCAACAUUUUUAGUCUUAGGUAAAUUAAAUGUCUUGUGCUAUUCUCUUAAUUUGUAUAAUAGUUACAAUAAUUCCGAUCUUACAGAAUUGCUGUGGGAAUUAAAUGUUUGUGAAACACUUGGUACAUUCCUUCUAUUAUCUGUAACCUAGCUAUGCUAGUAAAACUGCCAUUGAAAACAGUCUUAGAAUGUUCCUUACAUUUAGAAAUGUUGUAUUUUAGAUGUGGAAAUGUAUAGGUUCUGUGUUGUACAAUAAGUUCAGAUAACACUAUAGAUUCUAUUUAUUCUACACUAUUUCCUACUCUACUAUAAAAUAAAGCGUCAAGAUUGGUGUUCGGGUUUGCUAAAGGGGCUUAUUGAAAAGAGGGCAAGUGGAACCUACUGAGUCAGUGAGCUGGAACAGAAAUUCAGGCACCUGGAUUCUUCCAUCCACACUAUGAGGAAGAGCUGUUUCCUGGACCUGAUCCAAAUGCAGACCAAAGUGGCCCAGAACACAGACGGAAGCCAGGCUAGACUGUCAACACUGCUUUCACGAAAUUGAGUCUGGAACAGUCAUUAACUGCUUACAUUUCAGUGUGGUCAAUGCUCUUGUAGUAGGGGGUUGCAAUCAAGAUGGAAUGUGUCAGCAGUGUUAAAACAAACAUCUCUGUUCCAUCUUGAGAGCAAAAUCUAUAAAUAGCAGAUCUGGUCAUGGCUCACACCAGACCCUUGUGUAAUUAUCUGUCUUCAGAGGAUGUGCCUGGCACACAGGACUAAAGAACCUGGAACAGUGCCUGGCAUACAGAAGGUACUCAAUAAGUGUUCCUUGAAUUGAAUUGGCCUGUGUCCUCUGCCUGGAACAAUUCCCCAACUGGGACUAGAGGUUAACAUUUAUUGGGUCUUACCAAGCCCUGUAUCAGGCACUUUAUAUAGAGAUCUUCUCAUUCACCUGGCAAACUCUUGCCCAUCCUUCAAGAUCUAGCUCAAAUGUCACCUAUUCUGUUAAACCUUCUUGACUCCCUCAGGCAGAGUCCUGUGUUUCUGCACUGACAGCUCUUUGCUCAAUCUUCAGAAGAGCACUUACCACCUUCUACUUUAACAUAUCUGUUUACAAGUCUGUCUCCCCCACUGGAAUGUGAGGUCACCAGGGGCAUCAUGUCUUUAUUAAUAUUUUUGUUACUGGUACUUAGCCCAGCAUCUGAUGAAAUUAAUUUUCAAAACACUCCUGCAAUUCUGCUGACUAAAUAAUAAGUCAAAUUGAAUACAUUUAUUCAAAAAACUACACCCUUCUACACAUAAAGCCAGCUAAUAUUUUUAUAUAACCGAGGAAGAAGGACAAUUUUUACAUAACUGAGGAAGAAUCAAUUCUACAUCACAGAAUUUGAACAGUGAAGAAGUGGGAUAUAAGGGCUUACCAACACACACCAGCUGUGAGAAUCAACACCUCACAGGAAGUGCCUAACAUGUUUCCACUAGCACCCACACUGGGACUACACUGGUGUUCUCAGGAUAUCUAUAUUCCCUGGUAACCAUCUUCUAGCAGGACCUAUAGGCUGCAAUACAGAAAAGAAGCAUGAGAGAAUUUAUGCAUGAACACACACACACACGGAGCUCAUUUUUCAGUAAAGCAUUAUCACCUGAAAUCUUAAACUAUCACCAAAUGGUGAAACAACACUUGCCUUAUAGUUUUGUGAGGAUUAAGUGAGAUAAUGUUUAUGAAGUGCCUGAUACAGUGACCAAUUUAUUGCUACCUAAAAAGGUGGUAGCUAUUUUACUAUCCCCCAACCAGGCAAUAUUCUAUGAACCUUCCAGCUUUCUGACUCCUUUAUUCCCAAUGAACAGUGUGGAGAGCUUAGCAGGAAAAGUUCCUUGACUCCCAGGUGUUUGACAUGAGAAAGUGGUUGAAUGAUAGUGUCAUUUACUUAAAUGGAGAAGAGUAGGCGGGGAGGAGAGGACUAGCAAAUCAAGAGUUCAGUUAUGUUAAAUUGGAAAUUCCUAUUAACAAUCCAAAAGGAAUGUAAAGUAGACUGUUGAGUAUGAGUCUGGAGCAAAUAUCAGCAAAUAUUUAAUAUUAAAGGUCAUGGGAUUAGAUGAAAUAUCUAUGGGGAAAGUAUAAAUAUAAUGAAUGUAACUUUUCCAUUUUUCAUAGUUAUAAAAUCUUUUCUGUUCUAAAAUUUGCUUUCUCCACUUACUAUAUUUAUCUUUCUAUGUCAGUACACACAUACAGAUUUGUCUAAAGAUACUGUAAUUUAUUUAAUUUAUUUCUAAUUGUUGGACAUGUAGAUUACUUCCAACUUUUCAACAUUAUAAAUUCUACAAAUACUUUUGAGAGUUUGUGCAAGUUGAUCUGAGGGUAAAAUCUUAGAAAAUAGAAUUGCUGGAUCAAAGGGCAUGGCAUGUUUAAAAUUUUGAAAGAGAGUGAGAAAUUGCCCUACAAAGUGGAUAAAAAUGAAAAUUUACACUCCCACCAAGAGGGAAGGAGGGGACUAUUUUCCUGUGCUAACCCUAACACUUGAAUGAGAAAUGGUAUUUCACUGAUAUUUUCAUUUUAUUGUUACUUAUCUAUGAGGUUGAACAUCUUUUCAUAUGUUUAUUGGAAAUUUUUCUUUUUGCCAUUUUUCUACUGAGUUAUUAACUUUUUUUCUCCUUUGGGGUUCUGGAUUGAAGGUAGGAAGAAAUUUAGCCUUUUUCCUGCCAUAAGUGUUUCAUUUUCCCCUCCUUGUUCCGUUGUCUUCUAAGGGGACUUCUACCUCAGGCCACAUUUGAUUAUCUGGUACUGUACUUGCCUCCCUGCUAUAAACAAUUAGAAAACAGGAUAAAAUAUACAAAGCAACUGCUUCGGAAAUUGGACACAGGCAGAAUAAGACUGGGAUCCCUAAAAGAAGGGAAACAGAUGAUGUGAUCCAUAGAAUUGCCCUGGAGGCACAUUUUGGAUCACAGUGCAGAGAAAGGAAAGCCAAGUAGAGUACAAUAAUCUCGCUAAGUUGAGGAAACAGAGAUCAGAAGUUGGGGAAGCUCAGGACCCUGGAUAUUGUGGGGCAGAGUGCCAGAGAGGAGGAAGCUAUGCAAAGAAAGACUCCAUAAGUCUGCAGUCUCCUUGAAUCUGAAAUAGGCUGCAGAGGAAUAGAGUGAAACUGCAAGGCUAGGCAAAGAACAGCUGGGGAACUGUAAGUUGAACACUUCUUCAAGGUCACAAAGGGCUCCAAGUUCUGACCAGCCAGAGUAGAAAGACUUGUUGAGUAUCCAGGGCAUUAAAAGACCUUAGAAAGGUCACAUAUUAGUAAUUGAAGUAAACUAGGCCUGGAGUAAAGGCUACUGUAGAUCCAUCCUAGCAAAGCUUGAAAGUCAGCCUCAAAACAUCAAGUUGAUCUACAAGUAACUUCACUGCUUGUCUAAACCAAGUUUAACACUUUUAAAGGAAGGCAAUGAAAUUCAGACACUCCAGAACAUAACAUUUACAAUUCCCUUCACCCAAUAAAAAAUUACCAGGCAUAUAAAUGAGCAAGAAAAUGUGACUCAUAACCAGGAGAAAAGAACAAUCAAUAGAAAUAGACCAAAAGAAAAAAGAAAAAAUAGAUAUAGUGAUGGAAUUUUCAGACAAGGAUUUUAAAACAGUCAUUAAAAUACACUCAAAGUUUUAAAGGAAAACAUAAAGAUAAUAAGGAAAGAGAGGGAACAUAGAAAAAAGAACCAAAUAAAUUUUCUAGGGAUGAAAUACAAUAUCUGAAAUGAAAAUUCCACUUGAUGAGAUUAAUAGAUCAGAGAGUACAGAAAAAAAAUUAAUGACUCAGAAGAAAUAACCACAGAAGCUAUGAAAACUGAAGCACAGAGAGAAAAAGAGAGGGAAAAUAAUAUGAACAGAGCCUCUGUGACCUAUGGGACAACAUCAAGUUGUCUAAUUAACAUAUGUGCAAUUACAGUCCCAGAAAAAGAUGAGGAAGAAAAAAUACUUGAAUAAAUAAUAGCUAUUUUUUCCCUCCAAAUUUGAUGAAAUCUAUAAACCCCAAAAUCCAGAAAAGGCAAUGAAUACCAUGCAGGGAUAACACACAAAAAACCCAGAUCACGGCACAUCAUAAUAAAAUUGCUGAGAACCAAUGAUAAAGAGAAAAUCCUAAAAGUAGUCAAAGAAAAAGACAUACUACAUACAAGACCAAUGAUAAAAAUUAACAUUGAUUUCUUGUCGGAAACAAUGCAAUCUAGAGGACACAAAAUAACAUCUUUAAAACAGUAAAAGGAAAAUAUUGGUAAUAGAGAAUUCUGCAGCCAGUGAAAAUAUCCCUCAAAAAUAAAAGUAAAAUAAUGCCUUUUUCAGACAAACAAAAGCUGUGAGAACUUGUCACCAACAGUGCUGAAGUAAAACAAACGUUCAAGAAUUUUUUUUAGGCUGAAGGAAAAUGAUUUCAUACAGAAACCCAAAUCUACCCCAGUGGUUCUCAACUAGUGACAGUUUUGUCCUUCAGGGAACAUUCGACAAUGUCUGGAGACAUCUUUGGUUGGCACACCUUGGGGGAGAGUUGUUACUGGCAUCUAAUAAGCAGAGGUAGGGACGCGGCUAAACAUCCUACAGUGCAUAGGACAGCCCCCCACAGCAAACAAUUAUCCAGCCCAAAGUGGCAAUAGUGCUGAGAUUGAAAAAUCCUGCUUUACACAAGGCAAUGAAGAGCACUGGAAAUGAAAAAUACAUGCAUAGAUAUAAAGACUUUUUAUAGAAAUUUGACUGUUUAAGGCAAAAAUAAUAACAAUGUAUUAGGGAAUUUAUAACAUAAGUAGAGGUAACAUGUAUGACAGCAACCACACAAAGGAUGGGAGAGGAGAGAUGGAAGUAUAUUGUUAUGAGGUUCUUAUAUAAUACAUGAAACAGUAAAAUAUUAUUUGAAGGUAGACUGUGACAAGUUAAAGAUGCAUAUUAUAAACUCCAGAGCAACCACUGCAUAAAUAAAACAGUCAGGUAUAGUGAAUAAGUCAAUAGUGGAGAUGAAAUGAAAUAUCAAAAAAUACUCAAUCUGAAAGAAGUUAGAAAAA